rnacentral:lncRNA from 1 species
AGCCCUCGGCCGCAACACUAUCCAUCCCUACUUCAGAGAAUAUUUUUUUUCAUUCAUUUUUCAAAGCCAUAGAGAUGAAGGUUUUGUGCUCGGAAAUCAGUAAUCAAAAGUUCUUUAGCACUCAUCAUCAAAUAAGGAGCAUACUGGUCAUGAAAAAAAAAAAGAUCAACAUAAAUGUACAAGUAUCAAACAAAUCCCAG